rnacentral:rRNA from 1 species
AGAGUUUGAUCAUGGCUCAGGAUGAACGCUGGCGGCGUGCCUAAUACAUGCAAGUCGAGCGGAAAGGCCUCUUCGGAGGUACUCGAGCGGCGGACGGCUGAGUAACGCGUAGGAACAUACCCCAAACUGAGGGAUAAGCACCAGAAAUGGUGUCUAAUACCGCAUGUGCUCUAAGGAGUAAAGCUUCGGCGGUUUGGGAAUGGCCUGCGUAUGAUUAGCUUGUUGGUGAGGUAAUGGCUCACCAAGGCGACGAUCAUUAGCUGGUCUGAGAGGAUGAUCAGCCAGACUGGGACUGAGAACGGCCCAGACUCCUACGGGAGGCAGCAGUAGGGAAUUUUCCACAAUGGGCGAAAGCCUGAUGGAGCAACGCCGCGUGCAGGAUGAAUGCCUUCGGGUUGUAAACCACUGUUGCCCGGGACGAAACUCCUGCUUUGGCGGGAUUGACGGUACCGGGUGAGGAAGCACCGGCUAACUCCGUGCCAGCAGCCGCGGUAAUUC